AAUGACGGCGUCGUGGGCUCAAUCACUCUUCCAGCAUCAGCCUCUUGAAGCACUAACCCUCUCUUCUGGGAGAAGAAGGACCAAGGCAACUGUCUGCUGUAUCCUGCUGUACUUUGGAGUGAAACUGGUGUGUUAAGAAGACCAGAUGAGACUGAACGUGGAA